rnacentral:lncRNA from 1 species
CCUUAUUCCUUAUCAGUAAUGAUUUCGUCUUAUAAAUGAGAUAUCCAAGAUUUAAACUCACUUGGACAUAUUCACACGGCGUAUAACUAACUGCAAAAAUGAAACUGAUACUAGUCUGCCUCCUUCUACCCGUGGCACUUGCUGCCCCUACAGAUACAAAACGAUUUAUCUUCGGGAAUUUUCAGGUUGAUAGUCUCUGUACGUAUAACAACUUUUAUAACUUUAUAUAUUUAUUUAUUUAUUUGAGUCUCAUCCAUUUACAUUUUAUACACAUAUACAAACAAUAAAAAUCACACACAUCAUACAAGUAAAUGGCCAUUCUAUAUAGAAUUACAAGAGACUAUCUAAAACUAGUACAUUACACUAUUAAAAUCACAGUAAAGCUAUUGCAAGUGUAUUGUGUUGUAUUUUGUGUUGUGUUCAUUUCAAGUGGUGCUUAUUUGUGUGUGUGUGUGCUUGUGUGUGUGCGUGUGUGUACUCAAGUUGUGUGUAUGUAUGUACUAUGUUGUGAUUGUGUUGUGUUGUGCAUGCAUGUAUUGUUUUAUUCUUUAUUUGAGUCUUAUCUAUAUGAAAACAUGUAAGUUUACAAAUUCAAUUAUACAUAAUUAAAACUAAGUACAUAGCCGCUCUAUAAGUAGAGCUAUAAGAGACUAUAUUAGCUGUGACACCACAUGCUUCAAUGCACCUGGGAUCCACCACUCGGAAACCACCAAUGCAAACAAGAGCUGCCCGUAAUACAGCACGCUUGACCUUUCUCAGUGCCUGACUCUGAAUUAGAGUUAAAAAGAGACAUAAUUCUACCAAAAUUCAAAUAUAGUUAUGGAGGUUGUUUCUCCUGGUGUUUAAGCUUCAAGUCAAAAGCCUCACUAGUGA